CCUUUUGGCUAAGAUCAAGUGUAGUAUCUGUUCUUAUCAGUUUAAUAUCUGAUAUGUGAGCCAUCGGUUCACACGAUAUUAAAUUAAUUUUUUUCACGGGGGAGUUCCCGUCACAGCAGCUUGCUGCUGGGGUUCUCACGCGUCGCCCUUGCGUUGCACUACUGCAAUGGCCUGGCGCACCCCCACCAAAUCUAAUCCUUAAAACAUUUCAGUUCUUGGUCUACCUGUAAGGCCGCUUACUGUUGGGUAGAGGAGGUGGUUAAUUUUACGUAUAAGUUAACACUAGUCUGCUGGGGUGUUUCAGUCUCAACCCUCAUAUCUCAAACUUGUCUGCACUUCAAAGUAUGAAAUCCAGUUUUUGCUCAAUCUAGUACAAGAAAAAAAGAAAGUUCAAGUUCAUUCAAAUGAUGAUAAGUUAGGGUAUGUUUGUGCGAACCGGAGCCUGUGACCAGUUGAUCUCAAUCCAGGUUCAGAUUAAACCAAGAGUUGGACUGCUGCAAAGGCCUGGAGCACCCCUAUCAAAACUAACAACAACAAAAAUUUCAGUUCUUGCUUAUGCUGGAGAGGAAACAAAUUGAAACGAUCUGAACAACCAAGAAAAGAUCCUCUGAAGAAACGAAGGUUCAACCAACAAAUAUUCUUUAGUUCAUUCAACUGAUAAAAAAAGCUCUAUACAAUAAUGGAGAAACCAAAAGCUUACAAGAAGUGAAGUAAGAUGCGCAUGAAAAUUCUUUAGAUCCAUGAAUUUACAAAAUUCUUGUUAGGAUGAAGAUUGUUAAUAUCAUAAUUGUCCCUGCCUUAUUACAUUGAAUGUUGUGCCUAGUGGUUGUUGUUUUUUUGUAUGGGGGAGUCCCCAUCACAGUUGCUUGCUACUGGGGUUCUUAUGCGUCGCCUUUACGUUGCACUACUGCAAAGGCCUGGAGCACCCCUACCAAAACGAAGAAAAACUUUCAGGCUUCCGGAGCUAAGAAAACAUUCAGUUAUAGCUUAUGAUUCAUUUGUAAAUGUUUGUUGUAUCAGAGUUGAAACAAGUCCUGAUCUGAUCGAUGCUUAAGUAAGCUAUCUUUAACAUAUCGAAUACCAAUUUUUCCUUACCAUUUGAGUCU